rnacentral:rRNA from 1 species
GACGAACGCUGGCGGCGUGCUUAACACAUGCAAGUCGAACGGAAAGGCCCUGCUUUUGUGGGGUGCUCGAGUGGCGAACGGGUGAGUAACACGUGAGUAACCUGCCCUUGACUUUGGGAUAACUUCAGGAAACUGGGGCUCAUACCGGAUAGGAGCUCCUGCUGCAUGGUGGGGGUUGGAAAGUUUCGGCGGUUGGGGAUGGACUCGCGGCUUAUCAGCUUGUUGGUGGGGUAGUGUCUUACCAAGGCUUUGACGGGUAGCCGGCCUGAGAGGGUGACCGGCCACAGUGGGACUGAGAUGCGGCCCAGACGCAUACGGGAGGCAGCAGUGGGGAAUAGUGCAAGAUGGGCGGAAGCAUGAUGCAGCAACGCCGCGUGCGGGAUGACGGCCUUCGGGUUGUAAACCGCUUUCGCCUGUGACGAAGCGUGAGUGACGGUAAUGGGUAAAGAAGCACCGGCUAACUACGU